GGCAAGGGCUCUUCCGUCCUUUCCCAGAACUUCCACCAGUCUCCUGACUAAUCCUAAGUCCUUCCUUAACUGCUUGAUUUCCCGUGGCGCCCUUCUCUUCUCCUGAAGGCAACAAGAACACACAAUGAGUAAUGGGUAAAACGAAGAAUGCCUGGUUCCUAGCUUCUUUGCUCUUCGGGUUGUACUUCACCAGCGUCUGGACAGCUCCUCCACUCCCAUAGACCUCCUAGGUAGAUAUAAGGUAACACCCAAAUCCCUGAGGGCACAGGUAAGGAACAACGGUAAGGAUGUAGCAAGGUAACUAGGCCAUGCCCCUGGAUGUCCACCGGUAUAUCAGAAGCGAGUAACUUUUUACUCGUAUCACAGAUAGAUAUUGAGCAAGGUGACUGACUCUUCACACUAGGCUUACUGAGCGGGUUCCAGAGCAAUGGCUUUUAACUCGUGCAGGCGGGUAAGUAUUCAACAAGUAGCUGUAUCUUCACACUGGGCUUUACAGGGCGUAUUCAAGGUCAGUAGCUUUUAGCUCGUACAAACAGGUGAGUAUUCAACAAGUGACUGUAUCUUCACGCUGGGCUUUACAGGGCGUAUUCAAGGGCAAUAGCUUUUAGCUCGUACAGAGAGGUAAGUAUUCAACAAGUGGCUGUAUCUUCACGCUGGGCUUUACAGGGCGUAUUCAAGGGCAAUAGCUUUUAGCUCGUACAGAGAAGUAAGUAUUCAACAAGUGGCUGUAUCUUCACGCUGGGCUUACAGAGCGUAUUCAAGGGCAAUAGCUUUUAGCUCGUACAGACAGGUAAGUAUUCAACAAGUAACUGUAUCUUCACGCUGGGCUUUACAGGGCGUAUUCAAGGGCAAUAGCUUUUAGCUCGUACAGACAGGUAAGUAUUCAACAAGUGACUGGAUCUUCACGCUGGGCUUACAGAGCGUAUUCAAGGUCAGUAGCUUUCCCCACAAUAUCCGCACAAUACCUUGUUUUGCUUUCACACUUCACCUUCGAGCUGGGUCCGGAGAACGGAGUUAUAGGCGGGCGUAGGUGGGAUAGGUGGGCACCGCCACGGCAGCCUACGUUCUUUCCAACAGGAACUUUUCUCGGCCUGGAGGGCAAGUACAGACAACAGGGAAACGGCACAGCACUGCAAAGCUUUAGUGCACACACGUCAAAGACAGACUCACCCACUGCACUACACACACUUCAGUGAUUUUUAAGGUCGGUACUCCACACCCGGUCGGAUUUCGUCCUGGAGGAAUUUGCAGUCGCUGUCACGGUAAGUGCUCCAAACUUUACGGUGUGGCCACAGCCAAAUAACAUCCAUUCACCCACGCUCUACUUCGGCUCACCCACUCGUCUCGUCC
ensembl:lncRNA